GACGAACCGUGCGAACGUUAUUCGGAAUCAUUGGGCUUAAAGCGCGUGUAGGCGGAUUCGUGCGUCUGUCGUUGAAAUCCCCCGGCUUAACCUGGGAACUGCGUCUGAUACUGGGAGGCUAGAGUAUGGGAGAGGGAUGUAGAAUUCCAGGUGUAGCGGUGAAAUGCGUAGAUAUCUGGAGGAAUACCGGUGGCGAAGGCGGCAUCCUGGACCAUUACUGACGCUGAGGCGCGAAAGCUAGGGGAGCAAACGGG
rnacentral:rRNA from 1 species